AACGAACGCUGGCGGCAGGCUUAACACAUGCAAGUCGAGCGCCCCGCAAGGGGAGCGGCAGACGGGUGAGUAACGCGUGGGAAUCUACCCAUCUCUAUGGAAUAACGCAUGGAAACGUGUGCUAAUACCGUAUAUGUCCUUCGGGAGCAAGAUGUAUCGGAGAUGGAUGAGCCCGCGUUGGAUUAGCUAGUUGGUGGGGUAAAGGACUACCAAGGCGACGAUCCAUAGCUGGGCUGAGAGGAUGAUCAGCCACACUGGGAAUGAGACACGGCCCAGACUCCUACGGGGGGCAGCAGUGGGGAAUAUUGGACAAUGGGCGCAAGCCUGAUCCAGCCAUGCCGCGUGAGUGAUGAAGGCCCUAGGGUUGUAAAGCUCUUUCACCGGUGAAGAUAAUGACGGUAACCGGAGAAGAAGCCCCGGCUAACUUCGUGCCAGCCGCCGCGGUAACAC
rnacentral:rRNA from 1 species